rnacentral:lncRNA from 1 species
GUGUAUGCUCUGGAAGGGACAAGACCAGGUACCUGUCGGGGGAUGCGGCCGUGGUACCAGGCAUGGCUGCGCAGGUCCUCGCUGCUCAGGAGCAGCUCCUCCUCCAGCUCCUUCUUCAGUUUCUCGGGGGUCCUGUCCAUGAUGUGCCUCUCCUUGGAGAACUGCAACACAGAGUCAACCAUGAGCUCACCCUGCCCAGGCCACACCAGGCCAUGCCAGCUGGAGGUGACCGCCUGCUUCACUAAUCCAACCAGUUAUGCUACAGCCUGCAUUCAGGUAGGGGAGCCUGGAUAAUGAUUACAAAGAGCUGUGACCUUUCGUUUCUCCGGCCGCAACCAUGUAAUAAAAUUUUCACCUGCACAUGGGGACUAUGGUAGGAGAGUCCACCAAGAGGUUCCUUUUACCAGUCUACUCAAGCAGCUGGGCAGGAAGGGCCAGAGAGAUGUACAGACAGCAAGACACAGCAGCCCAGCCUGCUCUCUUCCCAGCGGAGAGCUUCCUCAUUCUCCUUCAGGACUGUCCUGACAUAGCGUGGGGAGGGCAGCUGUUCCCUUCUGGCCUUAGAUCCUGGGCCUCUGGGCAGUGAGGCCCAAAGCACAGUCCUUGGGCUGGUAGCGAUGGCCCUAACUUCUUUGCUGUUGGUAAACUCAUGUUCAGGAAUUGAGUCAGUCUUUAGAAACUUUUAGGGCAAAUGGACAGAGCAAUUUUAUGUCUCUUGAAUCUAAUAACAGAAGUCUGUCUUUAUUUCACAUUUCUAAUAUUUCAUUUUUAUGACAGAUAGGAAAGUGAAACAAAUUUAAAAAGACAACCCUGGUCCUUCACCUCAGAUGUUUGAGAAUCAGUGGUCUGCGGCGUUGCACAGUGGCCAUGGCAGUGAGUGCUGGGUGGACAGCGGUGGCUCCAGGUUUAAUUUAGAACCAUGCCUGCUUACAACAUGUGAACUGAACCUGGAAACCUGCCCAGUUCCCAGCAAGACCAGGCAUGCUGACCAGGAACCGCUUGCUGAAAGUCCCAUGAACAGAAAAAGGCUGUGUCCCUGUGGUUCUCCCAAGUUUCCCAGCUUGUCCUUCAAACCCCCAUGGGAGCCACAAAAUUAUUACUUAUCACACUACUUUUUAAAAAUGUUUAUUUAUUUUAUUUUUUUUGAGACAGGGUCUCACUGUGCUAGAGCACAGUGGUGCAAUCUCAGCUCACUGUAGCCUUGGCCUCCUGGGCUCAAGCAACCUCCUGGGCUCAAGCGAUCCUCCCAUCUCAGCCUCCCUGGUAGCUAGGACUACAACAGGCACGUGCCACCAUGCCUGGCUAAUUUUUGUAAUUUUUUUUUUAGAGAUAGGGUUUUGCCAUGUUGCCCAGGCUGGUCUCAAACUCCUGGGCUCAAGCGAUCCACCCACCUUGGCCUCUCAAAGUGCUGGGAUUACAGGCGUGAGCCACCAUGCCCGGCCUAUUACACUACUUUGCACGUCAGCAAAGAAAUAGCUCCAAAUCCUUUUCCACCAAACAACAACAACAACAACAACAACAACAAAGCCCUGGAAUUUUAGGGCUAGAUUCUCAUCCUCUAGUGCUUCUUUGCACAUUGGCCCAUAAGGAGCGCUAGCUGAAGAGUAACUCAGGGGCUGAUUUUUAGAUGGGGCUCUGGCUUACUAUUUGUUUACUUCUCCCUCCUUCUCACUGGGCAGACACUCACUUGGGAGUGUCUGAAGGAUGGAAUUUGCAUCAAAGAGAUGCGGACGCUGGCUGUCCAGGGUGCCUGCAGGCUUUAGACGGUGAUGUUUGACACCGUCCGCUCCCAUCAUUAAUAUUGUACGGCUUCAUCUGAAGACAGCUUGAGUGUGGAAUGCAGUUUGUCAACUCGGCCACGCUUUAUUGUUCGUUUAUUGUCUGACUUGCCUCCCACUAGACUGUAAGUUUCAUGAAAACAGAAAUCCAUCUACUUUUUCCCCACUGCCCUUGAGCAAUGCCUGAAAACAUCAGGCACUGGGUAUUCAGUAAACAAAUACCCUAGGAUGAGAAAAGAUGCUGACUUUGCUUAGUUAUGGAGAUUCUCCCUUUCGCCCUCAAGUCAUCUGAAGCCCUGUUUUCGCUGGGCAUGCUGCCAUUCAGCCAAAAGACCACAUUCCUCAAUCUCUGUCUCUUCCAGGGAGAUGUGGCCACAGGACUCAGUUCUGACCAAGGAGCUGAGAUGUGAUGGCUGGAGACUCAACACCAUUCUGGACGGGUCCAAUUGCAGGAACCUUCCAUGGCUCCCUGAACAAAACAUCCCUCAUGUCCUGCCUCCAUGCCUUUGUCUUGUGGUCCAGCAGACAGUGACACAUCUGUAGAGGUACACGGCCUGGCAGGAGUCCAGGAUGGGAACUGGGGAACAGCCAGGGGAAAGUCAGACAAGGUAGGUGGGGACCUUGAAGGCCAAGCAGAGACCAUGCCUUAUUUACCUUUGGCUCCCAGAGCCUGGCCCAGUGCCUGGCACACAGCGAGUGCCCAGUAGACAGUGACUGGCUGGAACCAUGCUCACUUGCUUGCCCUCUGUCUAGCAGGUUCCUUGUCACAUUGGGUGUGGAGGAGAGGAGAGAGCUUGGAGGCUGGUCAAGAACAAGUGACCUUGGGCCAUCUCUACACUUCUGAGCUUGUUUCUCUAUGCAUAAGGAGUGGGGAUAAUAACUCCCACCUUACAGGACUAUAGGACCUGAUGCAGGUAAAGCAUCUGGCACUAUACCUGGCACAUGGAUGCUCGCUUGACACAAUGUGGAAUUUGAACCCUCUUUCAAAGACGGCUUUUAGCAACAAAAUGGAACUACUUCACUAAAGAAGUAAAGAAAAAAAAUUACAAAAUCCAUCAGAGGUUUUAGAGAUAUCUGGCCCUCGAUAAUUUAGUUCUAAUGGAAUAAAAAAGCUAGAAGUUGGAAAACUGAUCUCUACUUAGGCACAGGUUUGUUUAUUCGUUUAUUUCAGUGCAAAGUCAACAGUUCCUGGGAUUUUGAGUAGCACUCAAUGGUUCUAUAGAUGCAGGGUGAGUAAGCAGGCAUACUGUCGCUUGGUGGCAAGCACUUUGUAUGCAUAUAUCUCACUAUUAACAAGUAUAUGUAUUAGCGCCAGGUGGCUCACAUAUCCACAAAUACACAGGUGACACAGCCCAGCAUGCGAGUGCAAGACAGUUUUGUGUUUGCACAAGACUAAGAGGUCCUUGUAUGUAGAUUCUGUCUUCUUGGACACUUAGUUGUUGAGAAAUUUUUUGUUGAAUUUUAAAAACUGAGAUGAUUUUCUAGUCAUUCAUUUAUUCCAUGAUCAAGCCUGGCAAUUAACUUGGUUGAAUAAAGAAAAAGAAGAAGGAGGGAAUGUGUGCAUAAAAAGAGGAGGUGGGGAGGAGAAGGGAGAGGAGGCUGGAGAAGGAGCAAGCUAGCAAGCUGCUGGGCUAUUCUAUCCUAGUUGGGAGUGUCAGGCUCCAACACCCGGAAUGCUAUCAGGGUUCUCAAACAAAAGCCUCCUUUCUUCAGUUUUGGAACAGUUUAUUAGCUUGAGGGAGAAGUCCACAACAGUCCAGGCCUCUUAUCAAAUUGUAUCAAACAACUCCACAGGUUGGGAUUUUCUAGAAAUCCUAUCCAGAAAUUUUGAUUACAAAUAAAAUUAUAAGUCUGACUG